GAGUUUGAUCCUGGCUCAGAGCGAACGCUGGCGGCAGGCCUAACACAUGCAAGUCGAACGGAUCCUUCGGGAUUAGUGGCGGACGGGUGAGUAACACGUGGGAACGUGCCCUUUGGUUCGGAACAACUCAGGGAAACUUGAGCUAAUACCGGAUGUGCCCUUCGGGGGAAAGAUUUAUCGCCAUUGGAGCGGCCCGCGUCUGAUUAGCUAGUUGGUGAGGUAAAGGCUCACCAAGGCGACGAUCAGUAGCUGGUCUGAGAGGAUGAUCAGCCACACUGGGACUGAGACACGGCCCAGACUCCUACGGGAGGCAGCAGUGGGGAAUCUUGCGCAAUGGGCGAAAGCCUGACGCAGCCAUGCCGCGUGAAUGAUGAGGGUCUUAGGAUUGUAAAAUUCUUUCACCGGGGACGAUAAUGACGGUACCCGGAGAAGAAGCUCCGGCUAACUUCGUGCCAGCAGCCGCGGU
rnacentral:rRNA from 1 species